rnacentral:rRNA from 1 species
CAUCCUCCAAGGCUAAAUACUCCUGACUGACCGAUAGUGAACCAGUACCGUGAGGGAAAGGCGAAAAGAACCCCGGCGAGGGGAGUGAAAAAGAACCUGAAACCGUGUACGUACAAGCAGUGGGAGCCCCACCACCAAAGCAUUCUCUGGUGUUGAAGGCCCUGCAAAGCAGCAUCGCGGUGGCGGAGCGUCGUUUGCGACGCCCAACACACAAAACAAGCGGUGAGUGCUUUGGGGUGGGGUGACUGCGUACCUUUUGUAUAAUGGGUCAGCGACUUAUAUUCUGUAGCAAGGUUAACCGAAUAGGGGAGCCGGAGGGAAACCGAGUCUUAAUUGGGCGUUAAGUUGCAGGGUAUAGACCCGAAACCCGGUGAUCUAGCCAUGGGCAGGUUGAAGGUUGGGUAACACUAACUGGAGGACCGAACCGACUAAUGUUGAAAAAUUAGCGGAUGACCUGUGGCU